rnacentral:lncRNA from 1 species
GGCCUCGGAGCUGGUUGCUGCUCACAGGCAGAGAAACGCUGAAGUGUUCCUGAAAACUCGUCAAUUACAGGAAAAGCUGCAUGACUGCAUCUUUAGAGGAGAUGGUUUCGCUGGUUCCAAGGAUUCUGUUAAUGAGAAAACUCCACAGGCCAGCAUUCUGUAAGCUGGCUCCAGCAGCCCAGUUGACAGUGGCUGAGGCCAGUUCCUGAUCAUCCUGAGGAACACCAGCACGUAAGUCAGAAGCCACACUACCUGUGAUUUUGGCCAAGUCAUUUUAUCUUUCUGUGCCUAUAUGUCAUCUGUCAAUGGGGAUAAUAAAAGCACCUGUCUAGAGUUGUUAUGAGGAUUACAUGAACAGUACCUGCUACAUAGGAAGUGCUAUCCAGGUAUUUGUUGUAAUUAUUUCUUACUUUGCUUACCUCCCUGGAAUUAGCCUGUUCUGCUGAUUUAUUCAUUUCCACAGCGAUUCUUUGAUAAAUUCAUGUGUUUAAUUUUUUUCUGGCCCCAGCUGUUGGAUACAGUCAGGAAAUAGGCAAGAAAUGCCAGCUCCGGAAGCAGAGGGAGAAUAAGAUAGUUAUUCUCUAGUGCCACCCAGGAAUAUGCCACUGAAGUGUUAAUGACAGACUCUUCCCUCUACAGGAGAGUUGUGCUAAACUUUGAUGUUUUGUGGUCUUCUGGGGAUUCUGGAAGUAAGGGACCUGAGGUGACUUAACAACAACUGCUGUAUGACAGGAUCAGGAUAAGUGAGUUGUGAAUGCUUAGCAGAGUCUGAUUAAGUUCAGAGUGAAGCUGGAGCA